GACGAACGCUGGCGGCGUGCUCAACACAUGCAAGUCGAACGGAAAGGCCCUGCUUUUGUGGGGUGCUCGAGUGGCGAACGGGUGAGUAACACGUGAGUAACCUGCCCUUGACUUUGGGAUAACUUCAGGAAACUGGGGCUAAUACCGGAUAGGAGCUCCUGCUGCAUGGUGGGGGUUGGAAAGUUUCGGCGGUUGGGGAUGGACUCGCGGCGUAUCAGCUUGUUGGUGGGGUAGUGGCUUACCAAGGCUUUGACGGGUAGCCGGCCUGAGAGGGUGACCGGCCACAUUGGGACUGAGAUACGGCCCAGACUCCUACGGGAGGCAGCAGUGGGGAAUAUUGCACAAUGGGCGGAAGCCUGAUGCAGCAACGCCGCGUGCGGGAUGACGGCCUUCGGGUUGUAAACCGCUUUCGCCUGUGACGAAGCGUGAGUGACGGUAAUGGGUAAAGAAGCACCGGCUAACUACGUG
rnacentral:rRNA from 1 species